rnacentral:rRNA from 1 species
UGCGUAGGCGGAAUAUUAAGUCAGUGGUGAAAUCCUGCGGCUCAACCGUAGAACUGCCAUUGAUACUGAUAUUCUUGAAUGUAGUUGAGGUAGGCGGAAUGUGUAAUGUAGCGGUGAAAUGCUUAGAUAUUACACAGAACACCGAUUGCGAAGGCAGCUUACUAAACUAUGACUGACGCUGAGGCACGAAAGCGUGGGGAGCGAACAGGAUUAGAUACCCUGGUAGUCC